AGUUCUUAUUAGACACGUGUUGGACAUUCAGCGUCUCUUUCUCUCUCUCUCGACGGAUUGAUUCCGUUUUCAGGGUUCACCAAAUCGUCGUCGCUGCUACACUCAUCUCUGUCGAUGGCUCGAUUCGUUAUAACCCAGGCAGAAUCGCCCCAUCGGAUCUGAUGUUUCUUUGAUCCAGCUUCUUCCCACCCGUAACCCUUAAAAACAAACUCUUCGAAUCCUCUGAACUCUUCACAGAUUCUGAAAACCCUUUUUCUUUUAUAAACAAAAGGAGAGAGUUUUGUUGGUGUGAUGGAUGAAUCAAAUGAGAUCAUCUUGCAGAAAUCAAAGAGAUUGACAUCUGUUGUGUGGAACUACUUUGAACGGGUGAGAAAGGCUGAUGCCUGCUACGCUGUUUGCAUUCAGUCAACAAGAAACUCAGCGGUUCCAGCAACAGCGGGACGACUCAUCUCCGGAACCAUCUCAUGCGUUGUCUCAGAAGAACCAACCACGACAGUGGGUAUAUGAGUACAUGAAUCUCUUUGAUUUUGAUAUGCUCCCAAUAAUAAAUUCAAUUGCAAUUUUUUUUUUUGUUGGCUGGGUUCUUAGCUUUCAGGCUUUGUAAAUAACUACUUAUUGAUGCAUAAUUACGAGCAUGGACAGUCUCACAUAUACAAGACACUUUCAGAAAUGCAUGUUAGUUGAAUCGUGGUGUUUCUUGUUUGUAACGAAAGUGUAUUCAUAAACUUGUAUAAAUAAAAGUGUAUUCACAAGCAGCCUUUGUU